AGGUUUGCGCAGUGGCAGUAUCGUAGCCAAUGAGGUUUAUCCGAGGCGCGAUUAUUGCUAAUUGAUUUUAUAACCGGAUUUGGAAACAUUAUUUUGUCCUGUCUGGAUUUAACUUGCUUCCUAAAUAGGAUUAUUUUAAUAAAU